UACGAAGGGGGCUAGCGUUGUUCGGAAUCACUGGGCGUAAAGCGCACGUAGGCGGAUGUGCCAGUCAGGGGUGAAAUCCCGGAGCUCAACUCCGGAACUGCCUCUGAUACAGCACGUCUGAGUUCGAGAGAGGAGAAUGGAAUUCCUGGUGUAGCGGUGAAAUGCGCAGAUAUCAGGAAGAACACCCGUGGCGAAGGCGGUUCUCUGGAACGCAACUGACGCUGAGACGCGAAAGCGUGGGGAGCAAACAGG
rnacentral:rRNA from 1 species